UGAAUAGUAAAAAGAAAAAAAAAUUAUUUUUGGAAAGGAUAAGUAUUACACGUAGCUUUGAGAUCAGAAUUCACCAAUUUGCAAAUAAAAAAUUAUUUUUGUAAUAGUAAAAUGAAUAAAAAAAUGAAUAGUACAAAUGAAUAGUAAAAAUGAAUAGUAAAUUUUUUUACUAUAAAUAGCCAAGGGGGGAGGCUGAAAAUUUACACCAAAGAACUUAGAAAAAUGUUGAGAGAAGAGAGUUGGAAGAAUUUCUAAUUGCAAAGGGGAUAUUCUGGAAGUUUUCAGAGAGCGAGGAGAUUAAGUCUGUAAUAGAGAUAAUGUUGCAGAUGCGGUUGAAAAAGCUUAGAGAUGAGAGAGAUGCGGGGAAAAACUUUCAGGGAUUUUUGUAAAAAUAAUAAAUUUGUAUUGGGAAGAUUAUGUUGUGUAAAACUUAUAAGUUGAAAUUUCAAUGGUGAAGACUAUAUUGUUUAAAGUUUGAAAGUUUGGUAUUGUACUUUGGAGUAAUUGAAAUAAAGUUUGAUUGUUUAUAUGAGA